AGUCGAACGGACUUUAUAUGAAGCCUAGCGAUUAUAAAGUUAGUGGCGGACGGGUGAGUAACGCGUGAAUAACCUGCCCUGUACCGGGGGACAACAGUUGGAAACGGCUGCUAAUACCGCAUAAGCGCACGGUUCCGCAUGGAACAGUGUGAAAAACUCCGGUGGUACAGGAUGGAUUCGCGUCUGAUUAGCCAGUUGGUGGGGUAACGGCCUACCAAAGCAACGAUCAGUAGCCGGCCUGAGAGGGUGAACGGUCACAUUGGGACUGAGACACGGCCCAAACUCCUACGGGAGGCAGCAGUGGGGAAUAUUGCACAAUGGGGGAAACCCUGAUGCAGCGACGCCGCGUGAGUGAAGAAGUUAUUCGUAACGUAAAGCUCUAUCAGCAGGGAAGAAAAUGACGGUACCUGACUAAGAAGCCCCGGCUAACUACGUGCCAGCAGCCGCGGUAAUACGUAGGGGGCAAGCGUUAUCCGGAUUUACUGGGUGUAAAGGGAGCGUAGACGGCACAGCAAGUCUGAUGUGAAAGCCCAGGGCCCAACCCCGGAACUGCAUUGGAAACUGCUGGGCUUGAGUGCAGGAGAGGUAAGCGGAAUUCCUAGUGUAGCGGUGAAAUGCGUAGAUAUUAGGAGGAACACCAGUGGCGAAGGCGGCUUACUGGACUGUAACUGACGUUGAGGCUCGAAAGCGUGGGGAGCAAACAGGAUUAGAUACCCUGGUAGUCCACGCCGUAAACGAUGAUUACUAGGUGUCGGGGGACCAAGGUCCUUCGGUGCCGCCGCAAACGCAACAAGUAAUCCACCUGGGGAGUACGUUCGCAAGAAUGA
rnacentral:rRNA from 1 species